GACGAACGCUGGCGGCGUGCCUAACACAUGCAAGUCGAGCGAGUGGAUCUCCUUCGGGAGUGAAGCUAGCGGCGGACGGGUGAGUAACACGUAGGCAACCUGCCUCAUAGAGGGGAAUAGCCUUUCGAAAGGAAGAUUAAUACCGCAGAAGAUUGUAGCUUCGCAUGAAGUAGCAAUUAAAGGAGCCAUCCGCUAUGAGAUGGGCCCGCGGCGCAUUGGCCAGUUGGUGAGGUAACGGCUGACCAAGGCGAAGAUGCGUAGCCGACCUGAGAGGGUGAUCGGCCACAUUGGGACUGAGACACGGCCCAGACUCCUACGGGAGGCAGCAGUGGGUAAUAUUGCACAAUGGGGGAAACCCUGAUGCAGCAACGCCGCGUGAGUGAUGACGGCCUUCGGGUUGUAGAGCUCUGUCUUCAGGGACGAUAAUGACGGUACCUGAGGAGGAAGCCACGGCUAACUACGUGCCAGCCGCCGCGGUAA
rnacentral:rRNA from 1 species